rnacentral:lncRNA from 1 species
AAGAAUUAUGAGCACACUAUGUUGCCACUGGACAUUUCCAUCUUGGAUGCACCUUGAUGCCUCCAGUCACAGCUGAGACCUCAAUGGUCCCAUGAUGCUGUGACACUUAAGGACAAGAUGACAUCAGCUGAAGACAUCCUGGUUGCUUGAGACCUGAGUAGUCAAAGAAAGGUUUCAAGGUUUCGACUGGGGAGGGACAAAUUCCUCAUCAUAUUAAUUUAUCCCAC